ACUCACUUCUUUCUAGUGCCUAAUUUUAGUUCUAGUGUUACAAAUGGGAAGUGUUGUUAUCGAUGAAAAUCGGCAACCAUUAUUGUUGGCGGAGGUGAUCUCCGCCAACUGGCUGCUAGAAAAUAAAAUUAAAAGAAGCGAGGAUGAGGAUGAUGAAGAUGAUGAAGAUCUGAAGACAAGAGUAUGGAUCGAAACUAAAAAAUUAUGGCACAUAGUAGGUCCAGCCAUCUUCAGCCGUAUAGGGACUUACAGCAUGAACAUUAUUACUCAAGGUUUUGCUGGUCACCUUGGUGAAGUUGAACUUGCUGCUAUCUCUAUUUCUAAUACUGUCAUUGUUGGCCUCAGCUUUGGUCUCAUUUUAGGAAUGGCGAGUGCAUUAGAAACGUUAUGCGGACAAGCUUACGGAGCCAAAAAGCAUCAUAUGAUAGGAAUAUACAUGCAGAGAUCAUGGAUCGUUAUCACAAUCUGUUGUAUCCUUCUCCUUCCCAUGUACAUAUUCGCUACCCCUAUUUUAAAAGCACUAGGUCAACCAAACGACGUCGCAGAGCUUUCAGGGGUGGUUGCGUUGUGGUUUAUACCACUGCAAUUCAGCUUUGCUUUUCAAUUUACGAUACAGAGGUUUCUACAGAGCCAGCUGAAGACGGCGGUAAUCGCCUGGAUUUCACUAGCGGUGCUGGCGAUUCACACGGCUAUCAGUUGGUUGUUUGUGUACAAAUUGAAAUUGGGGAUAGUGGGAGCCGCCGUAGCACUGGACAUAUCGUGGUGGUUGCUGGUUGUUGGACUGUUUAUAUACGCCGCAUGCGGUGGGUGCCCAGAAACGUGGAAUGGUUUUUCUAUACAAGCAUUUUCGGGACUUUGGGAAUUUUUUCGACUCUCCGCUUCUGCUGGUGUCAUGCUUUGCUUGGAGAAUUGGUACUAUAGGAUACUGAUAUUGAUGGCCGGGUAUUUACAGAAUGCGACAUUGACUGUUGAUGCGUUAUCCAUCUGCAUGAAUAUUAAUAGUUGGGAGAUGAUGAUACCACUUGCUUUCAUUGCUGCCACCGGAAUACGAGUUGCAAAUGAGCUAGGUGCUGGAAGAGGAAAUGCGGCAAAAUUCGCAGCAGUGAUAUCAGUGAUUUACUCCACCAUGAUAGGGCUAGUAUUUUGUAUACUAGUAAUGAUAUUUCAACAGAAAUUUGCUCUAUUCUUCUCAUCAAACUUUGAUGUCCUAAAAUUUGUCAACAAGAUCUCUUACCUUCUUGCUCUUACCAUUCUUCUAAACAGCAUUCAACCCGUUUUAUCCGAUUUUUGUUUGUUACAGGAGUUGCAGUUGGAUCAGGAUGGCAAUUAAAAGUGGCUUAUAUUAAUCUAGGUUGUUAUUACAUUGUUGGAGUUCCUCUUGGAAUUGUUAUGGGUAUGGUUCUCCAUAAUGGGCUUGAGGGUUUGUGGGCCGGAAUGAUUUUCGGAGGAACAGCUUUGCAGACGAUAAUAUUGGCUUUUAUAACGUAUCGUUCUGAUUGGGAGGGAGAGGCUAGAAAAGCUAGAAUGCAUGUUGAGAAGUGGUCGGAGCCACCUCCAGUGAGUCAAUCGUAGAUGAUAAUUUUCGUUUUUUUGAUCAAGAGCAGUAAAGUAAUAUAUAAUGUAUUUUUUUUUACGUGAAACCAUUUUCUACAUAUAAGAGUGAAAAAAUUUACGAUUUUACUUUCACAAUAAUUCUAAGAAAACUGAAAAUAGGUACAA